AGCGAGGUAAUAUUAGAGGUUCUUCUCAAAUAUGGCGGAAGCGAGUUGAUAAACUGCAACAGUCGUCUGUCUCAUCACUUCCCUGUGUUUUACAGCUUUUUGCCAGAAUCUUCUGAAAGGAUAAAGGAGGCCAGCCGGAUGCACAACCUUGUGAUUGCGUUUGGUCAGACGGAGCCCAUUUUGCUUCAGUGCGGCAUUAAAAGUAGCAGCGAACAAUAAAGAAAAUGCAAUUAUAA